rnacentral:rRNA from 1 species
GAUGAACGCUGGCGGCGUGCCUAAUACAUGCAAGUCGAGCGAUGAAGAUUGGUGCUUGCUCCAAUUUGAAGAGCAGCGAACGGGUGAGUAACGCGUGGAGAAUCUGCCUUUGAGCGGGGGACAACAUCUGGAAACGAAUGCUAAUACCGCAUAAUAACUUUAAACAUAUGUUUCAAGUGUGAAAGAUGCAAUUGCUUCACUCAAAGAUGAUCUCGCGUUGUAUUAGCUAGGUGGUGAGGUAAAGGCCCACCAAGGCGAAGAUACAUAGCCGGCCUGGAGAGGUGGACCGGCACCAUUGGAACGGGACAACGCCCAAGCUCCCUCCGGAAGGCACAAGAAGGGAACUUUGGCCAUGGGGGGAAAGCCUGACGGAGCACGCCGGCGGGGGUAAUGAAGGUUUCGGGUCCGAAAACUCUUUUUGUUGGGAAGGAAGAUAGGUAGAGUGAAAAGCGCAUGAAGUGACGGUAACUACCCAGAAAGCGACGGCUAACUACGUG